rfam:Picea glauca, whole genome shotgun sequence.
ACAUGCUUACAACAUAGUGUUAAUGCAUCGAAUUCCAUUAGAACUCCGUAGUUAAGCGUGCUUGGGCUAGAGUAGUAUUGGGAUGGGUGACCACUCAAGAAGUCCUAGUGUUUUACAUGCC